UGGGGAAUAUUGCGCAAUGUGCGAAAGCCUGACGCAGCGACGCCGCGUGAGGGAUGAAGGUUUUCGGAUCGUAAACCUCUGUCAGAAGGGAAGAAACCGCACUGUGCUAAUCAGCAGUGCCUUGACGGUACCUUCAAACGAAGCACCGGCUAACUCCGUGCCAGCAGCCGCUGUACUACGGAGGGUGCAAGCGUUAAUCAGAAUUACUGGGCGUAAAGCGCACGUAGGCUGCUUUGUAAGUCAGGGGUGAAAUCCCACGGCUCAACCGUAGAACUGCCUUUGAUACUGCUUAGCUUGAAACCGGGAGGGAGUGGCGGAAUUCAAGGUGUAGGAGUGAAAUCCGUAGAUAUCUGGAGGAACAUCAGUGGCGAAGGAGGCAACCUAGACCGGUAUUGACGGUGAGGUGAGAAAGCGUGGGGAGCAAACAGG
rnacentral:rRNA from 1 species